AUUCGUCACUGCAAGCUGCCUCUUAAAGGGAGAGCUUCCCCCACCCCUCCCACCCUUCCCGGUCCGCGCCUAAUCAGAUGGGGGAGGGCGGGCGAGGGGGGUGAUCGAGGAAAGGGAGACCGAGAAGAACCCGGCGAGGUGGAAGGAGGGACGAGGGAGGGAGCAAGGGCGAGGGGGGGGGGAAAGUAUUGGGGUAAGAAAAACAGAUUUCCUUGGCCUCAUUUAAAGCCACAGUGGCUCGGGGUUUGUCUGAUAUUUCACAACCAAUCGGGGUUGGCUAACCCCGGCUUACCUCAUCUCCUGAAAGGGGUGUUUUGGUGUGUUUUUAGAGUUACUGAGACAUUUCAAGUCUCUCCCUGCCUCCUUCUCUCCUGCUUUUCUUUCCCUGGGUAGGAAGUUCCUGCCGCAAGUUUUUCCUCUUCGCACAUCAGUGCGCUCGGGUCUCGAAGACCUUGCAACUCCAUCCAACAGCUGAGGGCUUUGGGCUUCCCGUGCGCCCCCUCGCCCCGCGCUCUUCUCGCCUCCUUCCAGCCGCCCGGAUAGGAGAUGUCUUCUUUAACACUUAUGGGAAUUCCAGAUGAAUGUUCUUCUUAGUAGGAUGUGAUCACACCUGAUAUAUAGUUUCACAUUUCCCAAAAGGAAGCGAGACUUUCUACACCAGACAGUUACUGUUGGAAGUUAUCUUGGAGAGCAUGUAAGGCGACUUCCUCCAUCUACCAAUGAGAAACUAAGAAUAGAGACCAAAGUGAUUGCCCGUGGAUAAAAUUCCACUAAUGGCCAGCUCUCCUGAAUCCUAGAGACUUUCCUCCCUCAAUUGGUGUUCAAUCUAUGACACCUUUUAAAAUCUAUCCAGUUUAACAAAUACCUGUCGAGGGCUGGCUGCCAACUGCUGUGUGAAGUUCUCUGGAGGCACGUACAUAUGAAUAAGCCAUGAUUAAUGUUCAGAGAAGCUCACAGUUCAGAGAUGGAACCCAUCGUACCAGGAGAUACUUGGAGUACAAGCUGGAAAAUGCAGAUCAGGAGGGGAAAGAGCGAGGCAAGGACUCCUACAGGUGCUCUGAGCUAUGUAUUUCCAGAACAGCUUCAGUCCAUAGGAUUUGUGUAUCCUCGUUCUCCUGAGAAGGCUAAGGAGAUCCAUGAGUCCUGUGCCUCAUCUCUUUGCAUGAAUAGAAAGUUUUCUGGCCACACUGGUGCCUUCUCUUCAGAACACACUUUCCUAACAACGAACCUGCUAAUUUUAGCAUCUUUUGGAAUCUGGGUAGGGUGAGAAUGUCCUCGAUUAUCAAGUACUGGUAUCCUUUUGUUUAAUGGUUCUUUCCUCAAUUUACCUCUUUUCCCUGGUAUUUUGCUAGAAGUAGAAAGAAGAAACCAAAUUGCAUCUUCAACACUUUGCUUGAAAUCUCCUCCGGUAAAUAGCCAAGUGCAUCGCUUACAAGGUCUGCCUCCCACACAACUGUAGGGCAUAGUUCAGCUAAGUUUCCGGCCAUUACGUAACAAGAAUCACAUUUCCUCCAGUUUCCAAUACCGUGCGCCUUAUUUCCUUCUGAGUUUUAUCAGAAGUGCUUUAACAGCUGUAUUUCUACCAGCAGUUUGGUUAAGGUGGUCUAGGCUUUUUCUAUUAUGUGUCUCAAAACUCUUCCACCUUCUGUUCAAUUAUCCAAUUGCAAAGCCAAUUCCAUGGAUUUACUUAUUUGUUACGGCAGCAUCUUACUUUCUCGAACUAAAAUCUGUAUCAGUUAAGCUUCCACCAGAACAACAGAAUAAAUAGGACAUACACAUUGAGAUGUUUAUUGCCAAGGAACCAGCUUAUCCACUUAUGGCAGCUGGCUAUGUCACUCCCAAAAUCCUGAAAGCAGACUUUUAGGAAGGCAGGCUGGACCUCUCAGGCACCCUCUGAAGCUAAAGUCCACGGGUUUCUCCUCUGUUCUACUCUUCAGGCCCUUCAACUGAUUGAAUCAGACCCACCCAGAUUACCAAAGAUGAUCUCUUUUACUUAGAGUCAAUGAUUAUAGACUUAAUCACAUCUGUAAAAUACUGUCACAGAAAUACCUAGACCACUGUUUGAAUAACUGGGGACGGAUAGCCUAAUUGACACAAAACUAAACAUCAGAGUGCGCUGUUAUUUAGGACGGGUUCUAACACACAGUAGGCUCUCAUUUCCUUUAAGCUGAAUAAACAAAUGCAUGAUAUCUCACUCUAGGAGCUAUACUUCUGGUAUACUUGACUUUCUGUAGAGCUUAAAUUCUAUGGUUUGUUUCAUAAAUAAUGUCAUCACAUUAUUUUUAUUUUUUGCUCAUGAAAAAUUUAUUAGAAUUAUCCCAUCUCAUUUUAUUUGAAAUUAGUUUAUUGUUCUUACCAAUUACUAUUCCACGUCUCUUUCCACGUCUGUUUCUUUUCUUCCAAACUCCCUCCCAGAACCAUGAAUCUGAGAUAUUAUCUAGUGAUUGUCAUUUUCUACACAUGCUUUUCCACGUUCUCCCAGAAAACUUCCAAUAAGUCAAACUGAAGUUAAAUCUUUAAAUUUCUCAAGAUGGGAACUAUUCUUGAAUUAAUAUUCUAAAAUAUUGCAAGUACUUCCCAUUAGUUUACCACCCUAUCAACAUCGAAAUCCUUACUCUAUACUCUCAAGCACUUUGAGAACGAAAAUAUAUUAUUCUCUGUCAGUUCUCCUAUUUUCCACGAAUUACCAAAGGUUACCUAUGGGGACUUGGCUUGUCCUCUUGAAGUUUUGUUCAGGUCCUUACAACAAAUUUACCAGGCCUAGACACUGUAACAUGUCGAAAAGUUAAUGUGUAUAUAUUUUUUUACUAAUUUGAGGCUCAAAUUUUAAUGGAAUGAAUUUGCUUCAGUUUGAUAAUUAUCCCCUUUGAUAGGAAAAAUGAAAACAAUAUAUAAGAUGGUAGUUUAUUCUACCCUGUGAAUCCCAGUUCUUAAACUAAUUGAUUCUGUAUCUUAUCUGUUUGGUUCUUACUCAGAGUAUAAAUAGUUGUUGAGGGAAUGAUAAAUUUUUAUGGUUCUUAGCAUUUCUCAAAAGCCUCAGUUUUGUGCUCCAUUCUUCAUUAGUUUUUUCCAUUGUAAUUUUUUUCCUAGUAACCAGCACUUCUCUCUUCUAUGUUUCUGCUUGGCAAAUAUUCAGGUAACCAAGGGCUCUCUGUCCAGAUUUGUGAAUUGCCUUGGGGACAUCAGUCCUUCCUUCUCCAUGGGCAGAAUUCUUAAUUACUUACUUAGAAUUCGCUUCUGAUAUAUCACCUGCCCUCUUAGUCCUUCCUGCCCUGCAGAGUGCCUAUUCAUGUGGUCAUUCAUAUACUUUUCCCUGGGCUUUUUGAAAUCCUGGUCACUAAGUCUCCGAGUGUACGCUUGAAAGGAUAGGAUGCCAGGGGAUGUGAAUAUACUAAGCUGUUAACACUUAAAAUUUCGAAUUGGGUCAACUACCCGGGAAAUUCUUGAUCUUGCUUAGUGUGAAAGUUUGAGUCAGGUACCUUCUGUGGAAUAUUUUAAUCUGGAUUCCCAUUAAAUUGGCUGGAAAAAUGCCAAACCAUGUGUUGUUCGUGAUUUGUUUUUCCAUCCUACCUCCUCCCCUGUUACCCACAUUCAUCUGACCGUAAAAGGCCUUCUAACUAGGGCAAACUCAUCCAUGUUUGGGUUCCUCAAAUGUUUCAAGCUAUUUUUCCAACUCUUGGGGUUUGGCAAACUCUUGUCAGCUUUUUGCCAAAGUAGUUAUUUUUUCUUUUUAAUUUUCAAAUCCAAGUGUAUUUCCAGGGAAAUGCAGUCCAUAUGUUUCUUAUUUACUUAUUUAUACACGACUCAUAAAGUAGUUUCUAAUUAUUUUAUAGCCCCAAUAUGUGUAUGCUACCUACACCUACGCCUUGGUCAAUCCAGAUCUAUUUCCCCUUUGGUACUUGAACUUAGAUGAAAAAUUUCGAACCAUAUUUGACACUCGGAUGGGCCAAGAAGUUGAAACGUUGGCAAAAUGUAGCUUUCAUUUGUCUUUUUACCCUUAAUAGAAAUGAAUGUAGUCUUUCUUGCCUAAUUCAACAAAAAGUUAGGUCCGUUCAAAUCACUAACAAGUAACACAUGAAAAUAGUAUGUUAGAAAUCAACGGGGAAUAAAUUCUUUAUAUUGUGUCCUUAAUCGCUAGACCCAUUUGUUUUGGAAUUCACUUCCCUUUUUACUCCCCAAGAGAAACUUUUUUCCAGGAAAGAACACAAUGCUAGCCCUCAAGUAGUGUUCAUUGAGAUUCUUUUCAUUUUUUUCCACAUAAAGUAAAAAUCUUCACUUGAAGUUCAAUCUUGAGGUCUACGGUCACUAGUUUUUGUACUAAGUAUUGACUUUUUUUCGUCUUUCAUCUUAAUUUGUCUUAUUGCCGUUCAAAUUAACUUUUGUCCAGUGUGUUUUCCCGAAUGCACGCCUAGCACCAUCACCGCACUGUAGCCACGCUCCUCAUCAUCACUCAGUGGGUCUCUCAACAUGACUCCAAUGUCCAUCUCCUUCCAUCCUCUCCCCCAGCCAACCUCCACACCACCACCUGAGGGACUGAAGAAUUGUGUUGGGUCUUUAUGUGAACCUCAGUUAAAUUCUCUUCAUUCCAAAGACAGAUAUACAAGUUUAAAUCCCCACAAGAUGAGGAAAAUAAUUGGUAUCCAGUAAUCAUUGCUCAAUUUUAGCUUGCAUAGAUGUUCAAAUGUCUAAUGAACAAAAUCAAAUCCACUUAACUGUGACAAUAUACAAAUAUAAUCCUAGACACUGAGCUCAGGGAGAAGCUUCAGCUCUCUUUAAAAUUUCAUAGAAAGUGAGCGUGGUAUGAUUUACCAAUCAAGCCAGCCUGCCUGAAACAAAUGACAUAUUUUAAUGCUGGUCAUUCCGGGAAGCUUUAGUAAGGGGCUAUUUGCAAAUGAGUGGGCAAGAUGUGGGGAAUAAAAAGAGCAGAGCAUGGUAAUGGGAUAAAGACAGUGGUAACAGUUGAGCCUGCAUGUCAGGAAAAGAGGUGAGAUCAAUUUCUAGAACCUGGGGAGGAAAGACCCUCUAGAGAGGGUUACCUGGAAGAAAAGAGCAAUGACAUUUGACAAGGCCGAGAAGGACUAUCCUGCUGGAGGUCAUGGCCAUCGAAGAAUAUACUCAGGUUUUACCCUGGGUUGCAUCAAAUUUCUUUGGAUCAUGAUCCUCAGAUCUGAUUCUUAAAGGUGUCAUUCACCCUCUGAUCCUGCACAUCUCUUAAGAGAACCUCUUCUGAUGGAAAGAGCAUUGGAAUUUUUUUUUCCUGUAGUAUCUUUGUAAAAGUUUAAAUGUCUAAUAAAUGUAAUAUUGAGUAAGAAGUUUAGUAUUGCACUGUUUUUGACUAAAACUGUUUAAUGCACACUUGGUAAGGUAGAAUAUUAGAAAUAAACCACUCCUUACAUGUUUGGACCAGCAGAAAAAUAUCAAUUUGGUAGUGAUCGUCAACAUUUGUUAUAGUUAAAACAUGCCAUUUUAGACUUGAAGUGAUUCAACUUUGAAUUUAGGAAGUUUUCACUAGGAGUUUCUUUUCAAGUGAUUCAACUCUGAAUUUAGGAAGUUUUCACUAGGAGUUUUUUUUCAAGAUUUCAAAUUAAUGAGGCAUGUCCUGGGAUUACCAAGGGAGGCACUAAAAGCUGGUGUCAUUGGACUGCUUAUUUGUGUGUCCAUAUUUUCUCAAAAACACUACAGAAAAACAAAGAAAAUACUUUGGUUCAUAUGAGACAGAAACAGACAAGCAUAAUCCACACCUAAUUUUUUUUUAAGUUAACACAGUUCCAUUUUCUUAUUGAUCAAUUCUGCCAUAAGGUUUAACUUAGCAAACAAAUUCAUACCAAUAAAUAUUCCUUUUUACUGAUUGUGCAUUCCAGUGAGUGUAUGAGUGAGAUUUUAUUUAGUAAGCAAUUCCCCUGGCUAAAAAAAAAAAAAAAGAAAAAAGAAAAAAAAAUUUGCAAACUAUAGAUCCUAUAGAUUUGUGUCCGUGGAGAAGGUGUUGUUUAACAGGCCAAAAAGGGAUAAAUGUAUAUAAUGAGUUGGCUAGUUGAGACUUGGUGGCCACAAUUGCAUCUUUCUCUUUUAAAAUAAAUUCUCUAUUUUUUUCAUUUCUGU
rnacentral:lncRNA from 1 species